rnacentral:rRNA from 1 species
GACGAACGCUGGCGGCGUGCUUAACACAUGCAAGUCGAACGAUGAUGCUGGAGCUUGCUCCAGUUGAUUAGUGGCGAACGGGUGAGUAACACGUGAGCAAUCUGCCCUUGACUCUGGGAUAACUGCGGGAAACUGUAGCUAAUACCGGAUACUUUCACCGGAAGGCAUCUUCUGGUGAUGAAAGAAUUUCGGUCAGGGAUGAGCUCGCGGCCUAUCAGCUUGUUGGUGAGGUAACGGCUCACCAAGGCGACGACGGGUAACCGGCCUGAGAGGGUGACCGGUCACACUGGGACUGAGACACGGCCCAGACUCCUACGGGAGGCAGCAGUGGGGAAUAUUGCACAAUGGGCGCAAGCCUGAUGCAGCAACGCCGCGUGAGGGAUGAAGGCCUUCGGGUUGUAAACCUCUUUUAGCAGGGAAGAAGCGAAAGUGACGGUACCUGCAGAAAAAGCACCGGCUAACUACGUGCCAGCCGCCGUAAGAC